rnacentral:rRNA from 1 species
UACGUAGGGGGCUAGCGUUGUCCGGAUUUACUGGGCGUAAAGAGCGCGCAGGCGGUCGUUCAAGUCGAGUGUGAAAGCCCCCGGCUCAACUGGGGAGGGUCACUCGAUACUGAUCGACUUGAAGGCGGGAGAGGGAAGCGGAAUUCCCGGUGUAGUGGUGAAAUGCGUAGAUAUCUGGAGGAACACCGGUGGCGAAGGCGGCAUCCUGGACCGGCAUUGACGCUGAGGCGCGAAAGCCAGGGGAGCAAACGGG